rnacentral:rRNA from 1 species
GACGAACGCUGGCGGCGUGCUUAACACAUGCAAGUCGAACGGAAAGGCCCUGCUUGCAGGGUACUCGAGUGGCGAACGGGUGAGUAACACGUGGGUGAUCUGCCCUGCACUUCGGGAUAAGCCUGGGAAACUGGGUCUAAUACCGGAUAUGACCUUCCAUGUAGUGUGGGGGGUGGCAAGAUUUAUCGGUGUGGGAUGAGCCCGCGGCCUAUCAGCUUGUUGGUGGGGUAAUGGCCUACCAAGGCGUCGACGGGUAGCCGGCCUGAGAGGGUGGACGGCCACAUUGGGACUGAGAUACGGCCCAGACUCCUACGGGAGGCAGCAGUGGGGAAUAUUGCACAAUGGGCGGAAGCCUGAUGCAGCGACGCCGCGUGGGGGAUGACGGCCUUCGGGUUGUAAACCUCUUUCGACAGGGACGAAGCUUCGGUGACGGUACCUGUAUAAGAAGCACCGGCUAACUACGUG